rnacentral:lncRNA from 1 species
UUUUACGUCGUUUGAACAAAGAGUUGUUCCUGGCCAAAUAUGCCACCUUGAAUUUGUGGUGCUAAGCUGCCAGUCCAGAAGAGUCUGAAGGCUGUUGAAUUGGCUCUCUAUAGGCACAGAAUCCUAACAGCUGUGUGAUAGUCAUCCUACAACAACAGGAGACUCUUGCUGAAUCCUUUUUUUUUUGCCGUUGGAGGGCUUCUGUAUUUCACCUUCCUCUCUUUCCCAUCUAUUUCUGUAGGUUUCUAUUGCCUGGAGGGCUCUGAGGUGCCCACACCAUGUCCUUCCAAUACUAUCAGAGAUGUUCCAGGGGCUGGGCGGAAAGAAGACUGCCUGCCCUGUCCACCCGGCCGCUGGUGCAAAGCAGGGGACUCAGAGGCUUAUCCAUGUCCCUCAGGACACUAUUGCCUUGGAGGUAACGUCAGUGACCAAAGCAGUCUCCUGGCACCUCAGAAAUGCCCUCCACACACUUACCGCAAACACCCUGGAGCUCAGAGUGUGGCAGAUUGCCAGCCGUGUCCUCCGGGCUAUCACUGCCCUUUAUCAGGUAAGUGCCAGAUGAAAGCCCACCCUCUCCCACCACUGGAGCUGAUUACAAAACUCCCCAAGACGAGAUAGGGAAGGGGAGAGGUUAGUUCAUGUUCACAGUGAGCUUAGAGCUCUUCUCUAAAACACCUCCCGGCCAUUCAGCCUCCUUUUCUUCAUUCUUUUCUCUUCCCAACAGGUCUGACCAGGUUUGAGGAUUAUCCAUGCCCCCUGGGAUACUGGUGCCCUGGUAAAGGGGACGCUUUCCUUUGUCCACCUGGUACUUCCAGGAGCCAGCCUGGUGCAAAAUCACUGGAAGAGUGCGAUCCCUGCUCACCUGGAUACUAUUGCCCAGACCCAGCACACACAGGGCUACCUAACAGCCAAGGAGUACCUUGUAAACCUGGCUUUGAAUGCCCAGCAGGUUCAGUGAAUCCAAAGCCUUGCAGGCCUGGCUCAUACUGUGGUGCUCACACAGCCGUGCCUUCCAUGUGCCCUGCUGGAUAUUUCUGUCCUGAAGGCUCAUCAACCUACAAUAGCCCUGAGCAGCUGUGUGUGUUUCCCUACUACUGCCCCCCAGGCAGUGCCCAUCCACUGCCUUGUGAAGGAGGAUUCAUGGCCCUCAGCUUGCCUGGUCCAAGGGAUUCAUUUGAGAAAUUCUGCAGAAUCUGUGACGCAGGCAGCUAUCGGAACGUCUCUGCCAGCGCUGCCCCCUGUCAGCCCUGCCCAGCAGGCUUCAUCUGCCCACAAGGUAAAUGGGGCUGCUAAGAAGUAGUACAAGUAGUUUGAAUUGUAAGUAGAAAGCUCUAAGUUUUGAUGGGCAAAGCUCUUGAUCCUCUACAGUUUUACAUCCCUGGUGUGGGUGAAGGGGAUGAUCUUUUUCCUCCAAUUCUGUGACUCAGCUGCGAGACCAGGAAUUAAGAUAUUAUCAGAAGUGUGAACCUAGGUGUUCAAGCCUUGCGGUGUGACA